AACGAACGCUGGCGGCAUGCCUAACACAUGCAAGUCGAACGAGACCUUCGGGUAUAGUGGCGCACGGGUGGGUAACGCGUGGGAACCUGCCCUUAGGUUCGGAAUAACUCCCCGUAAGGGGUGCUAAUACCGGAUAAUGUCUUCGGACCAAAGAUUUAUCGCCUUUGGAUGGGCCCGCGUUGGAUUAGCUAGUUGGUAGGGUAAAAGCCUAUCAAGGCGACGAUCCAUAGCUGGUCUGAGAGGAUGACCAGCCACACUGGGACUGAGGCACGGCCCCGACUCCUACGGGAGGCAGCAGUGGGGAAUAUUGGACAAUGGGCGAAAGCGUGAUCCAGCAAUGCCGCGUAAGUGAUGAAGGCCUUAGGGUUGUAAAGCUCUUUUACACGGGAUGAUAAUGACAGUACCGGGAGAAUAAGCUCCGGCUAACUCCGUG
rnacentral:rRNA from 1 species